UACGAAGGGUGCAAGCGUUACUCGGAAUUACUGGGCGUAAAGCGUGCGUAGGUGGUGAGUUAAGUCUGAUGUGAAAUCCCCGGGCUCAACCUGGGAAUGGCAUUGGAUACUGGCUCGCUAGAGUGCGGUAGAGGGUGGUGGAAUUCCCGGUGUAGCAGUGAAAUGCGUAGAGAUCGGGAGGAACAUCUGUGGCAAAGGCGGCCACCUGGACCAACACUGACACUGAGGCACGAAAGCGUGGGGAGCAAACAGG
rnacentral:rRNA from 1 species